CAAAAUUAAUCUGAUAUGGACGCAUAUAUAGAGCGAAUUUAUUAGUUUAGCUAAAAAAUAUUGGAAUAUAUACGAUAACUGAUAACUGCAAAAUUCUUAUAUCAAGAGUUCUCAUAGCAGAUUGCAGCUUCAAUUAAUGAACACCUUUACAUAAAUAUAUUUUUUCAAACAAUUUGGUAACAAGUAUUAACCAGGAAAACAUGUGGCAAUCACUUUUAAAAGUCAAGACCAUGAAUCAUCAAAGAUUGCAUCAAAUACGUUUCGUUUAAAAGUGGCAGCUCCAUUGAUUUACUUAAAUAUCAAAAGGCUAAUAAGCGGCAAAUGUGUACAUUUCAUCAACAAACGCAGACGCUUCAGUCUUAAUGUAAGUAACCUUUUCGCAUAUUUUUAGCAACUAACACGAAAAUGGACGACGAGCACAGGAAACAAGGGCAAAACAGAAGUCAUCCAAUUCCAAAAAUUGAAAAAGAAGAAAAACCAGCACAGGAAAUUGGAGUUUUUACGGUUUAUACGAGUCCCAAGAGGCAGCAGUGCUUGCAUAUUGCAAUAUCGCAAGUAUGAAGCAAUAAUAAAUGAGCCCAGACCAUUUCUGAAGCUAAUGCGACUGUUAGAUUUUGCUCAAAUUGCUCCAAAAAGGCAUUAAAUUGCGUUACAAUUUGUUAGCGAAAAACCGAAGUUUUGAAACAUAAAAAAGUAUUGAAGUUAGUGCAGGCAGUUAAAUAAAAAUUAAGUAAAAUGUUGCCAUAACGAAAAUUGCAGGCAUUCAGAAGGCAGCAGAGGCAACGGAGGCAUCAGAGGCAGUACACAGAACAGCAAUGAUGAUGCAUUACCAGCAGCAGGAGUUGGCGGUGCCUGGAAUUUUUUGACAACGAACUCAGACUCUUCACGAAGAAGUAAGAACGUAAAGAACUCAAUUAACAAAGCGAUUCGCUCAGAAAUGCGAUGUCUCGUGAAUUUCAAGCCGAAUGGCAACCAGAUAUUCUCACGAACGAACAGUUUUGAACCCUUAAAAUAGCAAACAAGGGUUCUAUAUAAAACGACACAAGCAAACAAAACAAAGAAAAUCGUUUGCAGGACGUGUCGGCAACGCGGCGCCAACGGCUAAAAGCAGAUUUGACGCUAUAAGCAAUGUGGGCCGAAAUUGAGUAAAAGGAAGAGUGAAAGUGAGUGACGUUUGAACAUGUUUACUUACGCAGAAUAUUCCCUUAUGUUGGUUUCUUAAUUUGUAAAGAGCUUGAAAAACCUACCACAGAG